rnacentral:misc_RNA from 1 species
CUGAGUGAGGGCCUCUGGUCCGACCUCCAACCCAUUGUUGUCCGACUCUGUUGCCUCGGGGGCGACCUGGCCUUCGGGCUCGGGGCCCCCGGCGGUCUACUUAACUCUGCAUCUUUGCGUCUGAGUAAAUAUUGAAUUAAACA